rfam:Ipomoea nil DNA, scaffold: scaffold1101, cultivar: Tokyo-kokei standard.
GGCCUAUUAGCUCAGUUGGUUAGAGCGUCGUGCUAAUAAUGCGAAGGUCAUAGGUUCGAGACCUUUAUGGGCCA